AGUUCUUUGUGUAAGACACUUCAUCUAAAUUUGUCCUCCUAAAUGUUCAUCAUAUACGCGCAAAAAUGUGUGCAGAUGCGGCGCUUAGUGAUUAUUCACAUAAUCUCUCUUUGUUAUGUGAUAAGAGUGAAUGAAUAUUUGUGUUGCCGUAAAUCAUAUCCAUGCCCCGGGUAGCAGGAAGUAAUCGGCCCGAGCUCGGCUGCCCUUCGGCGCCUCCGGCUCCGACUCGGCAUCAACGAGUGUUAUACGGGCGGAGUGUGGCCCGCAGCUCGCUCGCGCACAUGCGUUUGUGAUGCAGCUGUAAACACUGGCCAGAUUCCUGUUAACCCUAUCUGGCCCGAGUCUGUCUCGGCUCGUAUAAGGACUCGGCUUGUGUAACUGAUGACAACCGAUUAAAUUCUUAUUUUAUCUAGUAAUUUGUUAGCUCCACGUUUAAUGAUAAUUUGAGAAAAUAUAUAUGGUACAACAGCAACAAAAUAAUAAAAACAUUUAGUGUGGAUGGUCGCAAUGUUUAGAUGCAAACAAAACAAUAUUAUUUAUAAAUGGAUUAUAUAUAUCAUCUAGGGAAAACAGUGUAAAAUGCGCUUAUUUUCGAGAUAGCACGCUUCCAUGCAGACUGUUUUUUUAAGCAGAAGUUUGGUUUCAUAAGAAACACAUGCGUGAGUCAACUCUUGGUCCAAACUCCAAUCCAGACGGUGGCGGUAAUGUUCCAAAAGCUGGUUGCCAACCGCUAUGAUGAUCACAAGAAGAAAAAGAAGUUUGGCGUUUCAAAACAGUGGAUUCCGGUCAGAAAGACACACAUGAGGAAGCUCGACUCAGCUUGGCUUGCAGACAGAUGAGGACGGUGAUUGCCCGUCAUACACCUAAAGAAAGAACAGGGGCAUUAAAGACACAACUAUAGUGAACGUGAUGAAGAAAAAUUAUUUGGAACAAAGAGGCUGGAGAAAAAACUGAUAUGAAGAUUUCAGAAAUUGAUGCAGCACCGCAAGUACCAUCACCACCAAUGACUAUGGCAGGAUCCUUAAGAACACCAUCAAGAUGCACAGAUGCUGUACAUUCCAGUACACCUAUGAACAUUUACAGUCCUUGUUCAAGUGCAGUCGGAGAUCAAGACAACUUAUUGCAACUCGUCAUGUCUUUCACGACUGAAAAAAAGUUUUAAAAUCAUGUGACGUCAUAAAGCAGCAACUGUGCCUGAUUCUCACAAAUCAGCAAAACCAAAACAGACGUGAUGAAAUUCCAGAUGUAAACACAUUUGACCUUUCUUUGUCCAAUUUGAUUUGGAAAAACUUGAAAAUCAACUAAACGAGCAGCCCGAACAAAUGAAGAAACUGGUAGCCUACUUUGGAAUCAUUGGUGUUUUCCACUAAGCAGUUUGGUGUGUCCCGGGAAAGCUUUUGGCUCACUUUUUGGCUGAACAAAUUAACUGGAGCAGGGCAAACCAAAAUGUGGCCUUUCAUGCACUCUCCCUUACGACUGUCUAGUCAAUGUAGUGAGGAGAAAUGUCCAUACCACAUCACUGAUAAAGAAGUGGAAAAAUGCAUUACAAGGUGGCUACAACGUGCUCCUGACAGGGCUGGAGGAAGGAGGGAAGAAGAGAAAGCUAAUGUGUCAAAUGUCUACAUCAAUAAUUUAUUUUUUAAACAACAUUUUAAGUGUAUUAAGAUGUUCCCUGAUACUUGGG